GCACAAGCGGUGGAUGAUGUGGUUUAAUUCGAUGCAACGCGAAAACCUUACCCACCUUUGACGUGGCAGGAAUCCCGAAGAGAUUUGGGAGUGCUCGAAAGAGAACCUGCACACAGGUGCUGCAUGGCUGUCGUCAGCUCGUGUCGUGAGAUGUUGGGUUAAGUCCCGCAACGAGCGCAACCCUUGCCAUUAGUUGCUACGAAAGGGCACUCUAAUAGGGACUGCCGGUGACAAACCGGAGGAAGGUGGGGAUGACGUCAAGUCCUCAUGGCCCUUAUAGGUGGGGCUACACACGUCAUACAAUGGCCGGUACAGAGGGUAGCCAACCCGCGAGGGGGAGCCAAUCCCACAAAGCCGGUCGUAGUCCGGAUCGCAGUCUGCAACUCGACUGCGUGAAGUCGGAAUCGCUAGUAAUCGCGGAUCAGCAUGUCGCGGUGAAUACGUUCCCGGGUCUU
rnacentral:rRNA from 1 species